rnacentral:rRNA from 1 species
AUUGAACGCUGGCGGCAUGCCUUACACAUGCAAGUCGAACGGUAACAGGUCUUCGGAUGCUGACGAGUGGCGAACGGGUGAGUAAUACAUCGGAACGUGCCCGAUCGUGGGGGAUAACGGAGCGAAAGCUUUGCUAAUACCGCAUACGAUCUACGGAUGAAAGCAGGGGACCGCAAGGCCUUGCGCGAACGGAGCGGCCGAUGGCAGAUUAGGUAGUUGGUGGGAUAAAAGCUUACCAAGCCGACGAUCUGUAGCUGGUCUGAGAGGACGACCAGCCACACUGGGACUGAGACACGGCCCAGACUCCUACGGGAGGCAGCAGUGGGGAAUAUUGGACAAUGGGCGAAAGCCUGAUCCAGCAAUGCCGCGUGAGUGAUGAAGGCCUUAGGGUUGUAAAGCUCUUUUGCCAGGGAUGAUAAUGACAGUACCUGGAGAAUAAGCUCCGGCUAACUCCGUG